UACAGAGGUCUCAAGCGUUGUUCGGAAUCACUGGGCGUAAAGGGUGCGUAGGCGGCGGAGUAAGUCGGGUGUGAAAUUUGAAGGCUCAACCUUCAACUAGCACCUGAUACUGCUUUGCUUGAGGUCUGAAGAGGAGCUUGGAAUUCUCGGUGUAGCAGUGAAAUGCGUAGAUUUCGAGAAGAACGCUCGCAGCGAAAGCGAAGCUCUGGUCAGAUUCUGACGCUGAGGCACGAAGGCUAGGGGAGCAAACGGG
rnacentral:rRNA from 1 species